rnacentral:lncRNA from 1 species
GCACUGCAGAGUCCCAAGACCAUGGUCCUCCUGAAUAGGAUAACUAAGGAAAAGACAAACUGAGGCUGUAUCCCAGACCAAGGCUGAGAUGGGAUCACCUAGCAAAAUAUGGCACAUUCCCAAGGAUGUAGUAGGAGUUUCUACCCCCCACAAGAAGAGUAGUUUUCUUGUAAGGGCAAAAUCAGACAGAUGGAGUAGAACAGAAGAGGAUGCCCCCAACCCAUCCAGAGUGAAGGAAAAAUUAGACACCAUGUAUGGAAUCUAUGCAGCUGAGUAUAUAUGUGGAUGAUUUAAUAGUAACACUUUCCACCACGUCUCCAGUGAAGAAAGUCAUGUUGACAUCCUAAUCAUUCCCAGAAA